CGCGUGGCGCAGUGGUAGCGCAGUUGACUCUUAAUCAAUUGGUCGUGGGUUCGAAUCCCACUGCGCCC
rnacentral:tRNA from 1 species